UAGGGAAUCUUCGGCAAUGGACGAAAGCCUGACCGAGCAACGCCGCGUGAGUGAAGAAGGUCUUCGGAUCGUAAAACUCUGUUGUUAGAGAAGAACAAGGACGUUAGUAACUGAACGUCCCCUGACGGUAUCUAACCAGAAAGCCACGGCUAACUACGUGCCAGCAGCCGCGGUAAUACGUAGGUGGCAAGCGUUGUCCGGAUUUAUUGGGCGUAAAGCGAGCGCAGGCGGUUUCUUAAGUCUGAUGUGAAAGCCCCCGGCUCAACCGGGGAGGGUCAUUGGAAACUGGGAGACUUGAGUGCAGAAGAGGAGAGUGGAAUUCCAUGUGUAGCGGUGAAAUGCGUAGAUAUAUGGAGGAACACCAGUGGCGAAGGCGGCUCUCUGGUCUGUAACUGACGCUGAGGCUCGAAAGCGUGGGGAGCAAACAGG
rnacentral:rRNA from 1 species